GACGAACGCUGGCGACGUGCCUAAUACAUGCAAGUCGAACGAGAGCGACCGGUGCUUGCACUGGUCAAUCUAGUGGCGAACGGGUGAGUAACACGUGGGUAACCUGCCCAUCAGAGGGGGAUAACAUUCGGAAACGGAUGCUAAAACCGCAUAGGUCUUCGAACCGCAUGGUUUGAAGAGGAAAAGAGGCGCAAGCUUCUGCUGAUGGAUGGACCCGCGGUGCAUUAGCUAGUUGGUGAGGUAACGGCUCACCAAGGCCGUGAUGCAUAGCCGACCUGAGAGGGUGAUCGGCCACAUUGGGACUGAGACACGGCCCAAACUCCUACGGGAGGCAGCAGUAGGGAAUCUUCCGCAAUGGACGCAAGUCUGACGGAGCAACGCCGCGUGAGUGAAGAAGGUUUUCGGAUCGUAAAACUCUGUUGUUAGAGAAGAACAAGUGCUAGAGUAACUGUUAGCGCCUUGACGGUAUCUAACCAGAAAGCCACGGCUAACUACGUG
rnacentral:rRNA from 1 species